AGGGCACCACCAGGAGUGGAGCCUGCGGCUUAAUUUGACUCCACACGGGGAAACUUACCCGGCCUGGACACUGGAAGGAUUGACAGAUUGAGAGCUCUUUCUUGAUUCAGUGGGUGGUGGUGCAUGGCCGUUCUUAGUUGGUGGAGCGAUUUGUCUGGUUAAUUCCGAUAACGAACGAGACUCUAGCCUAUUAAAUAGGCUCUCGGCUUUUAAACGCCGGGAGGACUUCUUAGAGGGACAGGUGGCGGUUCAGCCGCACGAAAGAGAGCAAUAACAGGUCUGUGAUGCCCUUUGUUGUCCGGGGCCGCACGCGCGCUACACUGAAGAGAUCAGCGUGCUUUACGUUCCUGCUCCGACCGGAGUGGGGAACCCAGUGAACCUCCUUCGUGAUUGGGAUAGAAGAUUGUAAUUAUUCUUCUUGAACGAGGAAUUCCCAGUAAAUGCGAGUCAUAAGCUCGCGUUGAUUACGUCCCUGCCCUUUGUACACACCGCCCGUCGCUACUACCGAUUGAACGAUUU
rnacentral:rRNA from 1 species